rnacentral:rRNA from 1 species
UUGAACGCUGGCGGCAUGCCUUACACAUGCAAGUCGAACGCGAAAGGGGGCAACCCUGAGUAGAGUGGCGAACGGGUGAGUAAUGCAUCGGAACGUGUCCUGUAGCGGGGGACAACCCCGAGAAAUCGGGGCUAAUACCGCAUACGUCCUGAGGGAGAAAGCGGGGGACCGUAAGGCCUCGCGCGAUUGGAGCGGCCGAUGUCGGAUUAGCUAGUUGGUGGGGUAAAGGCCUACCAAGGCGACGAUCCGUAGCGGGUCUGAGAGGAUGAUCCGCCACACUGGGACUGAGACACGGCCCAGACUCCUACGGGAGGCAGCAGUGGGGAAUUUUGGACAAUGGGGGCAACCCUGAUCCAGCCAUGCCGCGUGAGUGAAGAAGGCCUUCAGGUUGUAAAGCUCUUUCAGACGGAAAGAAAACGCAUCGGUGAAUACCCGGUGUGGAUGACGGUACCGUAAGAAGAAGCACCGGCUAACUACGU